AUGAAUGUGAAAAAUUCCUGCCAGGUUGGAGCGUUCUUGGUGUGGUGUCUUCUGGUAGCAGUACCUCAGCAGGGAGAAUGGCUGGGACUGCACAGAGCUGAGUCCUGCUGGUCUGUUCCCUCAUCAUUGCUGAGCUUGUGGGAUUCAGAUGGGAGUCUGGCUCCAGAGCAGAGUGGUUAUCUCUACGAAAAUGUCAUUGCUGGGACUCAGAUCCUGAAGCACCCUCCAGCCCCAUACCCCUCAGAAGGUGAUGUACAAACUGCACCGAGGCACCUGGUACCUUACAGUAUUGGCAAGUUUUCCCUGGCACUCUUGUGGGCACAUGUCAGGGAUACUGAAGACUUUCCAUCUUGA
ensembl:lncRNA